CCUACGGGAGGCAGCAGUGGGGAAUAUUGGGCAAUGGAGGCAACUCUGAUGCAGCAACGCCGCGUGUAUGAUGAAGGUCUUCGGAUUGUAAAGUUCUUUUCUAAGGGAAGAAGCAAGUGACGAUACCUCAGGAAUAAGCCUCGGCUAACUACGUGAGAGCAGCCGCGGUAAUACGUAGGGGGCAAGCGUUAUCCGGAAUGACUGGGCGCAAAGGGUGCGUAGGUGGUUUGACAAGUUAGUAGCGCAACUCCGGGGCUCGAGUUCGGAACUACUACUAAAACUGUUGGACUUGAGUGCAGGAGGGGCAAUCGGAAUUCCUGGUGUAGCGGUGGAAUGCGUAGAUAUUAGGAGGAACACCAGUGGCGAAGGCGGAUUGCUAGACUGUAACUGACACUGAGGCACGAAAGCGUGGGGAGCAAACAGGAUUAGAUACCCCAGUAGUC
rnacentral:rRNA from 1 species